GCUGCUGUAGCUCAGUUGGUAGAGCGGUGGACUGAAAAUCCAUGUGUCAGGAGUUCAAUUCUCCUCGGCGGCA
rnacentral:tRNA from 4 species